rnacentral:rRNA from 1 species
UGGGGAAUCUUGCGCAAUGGCCGAAAGGCUGACGCAGCGACGCCGCGUGUGGGAUGAAGCCCUUCGGGGUGUAAACCACUGUUGCCCGGGACGAACAGCGGAUUUCGAUCUGCCUGACGGUACCGGGUGAGGAAGCACCGGCUAACUCCGUGCCAGCAGCCGCGGUAAUACGGGGGGUGCGAGCGUUGUCCGGAAUCACUGGGCGUAAAGGGCGCGUAGGCGGUUUGGUAAGGCUGUGGUGAAAGCCCGGGGCUCAACCCCGGGUCUGCCGUGGCGACUGUCAGACUGGAGGGCUCGAGAGGCAGACGGAAUUCCGGGUGUAGCGGUGGAAUGCGUAGAGAUCCGGAAGAAGACCGGUGGCGAAGGCGGUCUGCUGGCGAGUCCCUGACGCUGAGGCGCGACAGCGUGGGGAGCAAAC